ACUUAAAACUCAAAGGACUUGGCGGUGUCCCACAUUCGACCUAGAGGAGCCUGUCCUAUAAUCGAUACUCCCCGCUCUACCUCACCAGCACUAGCACCAACUUCAGCCUAUAUACCGCCGUCGACAGCUUACCCCCUGAGGGUUUAACAGUAAGCACAACAGUCCUACCACUAACACGUCAGGUCAAGGUGUAGCUAAUGUGCUGGCAGAGAUUGGCUACAUUUUUUAUUUUAAAAAACACGAAAUGCUAUAUGAAAAACAGCAUGAAGGCGAAUUUAGUAGUAAAACAGACA
rnacentral:rRNA from 1 species